rnacentral:rRNA from 1 species
GACGAACGCUGGCGGCGUGCCUAAUACAUGCAAGUUGAGCGAUGAAGCUUGGUGCUUGCACCAAUUUGAAGAGCAGCGAACGGGUGAGUAACGCGUGGGGAAUCUGCCUUUGAGCGGGGGACAACAUCUGGAAACGAAUGCUAAUACCGCAUAAUAACUUUAAACAUAAGUUUUAAGUUUGAAAGAUGCAAUUGCAUCACUCAAAGAUGAUCCCGCGUUGUAUUAGCUAGUUGGUGAGGUAAAGGCUCACCAAGGCGAAGAUACAUAGCCGACCUGAGAAGGUGAUCGGCCACAUUGGGACUGAGACACGGCCCAAACUCCUACGGGAGGCAGCAGUAGGGAAUCUUCGGCAAUGGACGAAAGUCUGACCGAGCAACGCCGCGGGAGGGAAGAAGGGUUUCGGAUCGUAAAACUCUGUUGGUAGAGAAGAACGUUGGUGGGAGUGGAAAGCUCAUCAAGUGACGGUAACUACCCAGAAAGGGACGGCUAACUACGUG